rnacentral:rRNA from 1 species
UACGGGGGGAGCAAGCGUUGUUCGGAUUUACUGGGCGUAAAGGGCGCGUAGGCGGCCUCCGCAAGUCAGUUGUGAAAUCUCCGAGCUUAACUCGGAAAGGUCAACUGAUACUGCGGGGCUAGAGUGCGGAAGGGGCAACUGGAAUUCUUGGUGUAGCGGUGAAAUGCGUAGAUAUCAGGAGGAAUACCGGUGGCGAAAGCGACUCUCUGGACGGUUACUGACGCUGAGGCACGAAAGCGUGGGGAGCAAACAGG